rnacentral:precursor_RNA from 14 species
CAACAUGUCGCACAAACUCACUGUUCCCUUCUCUGUUCUUUUGCAUCUUUCAGACCAGGAUGAAAGAGCAGCAGAACUCAGCAGGGAGCAGAAUGAGAAAACCAUCCGCAGCAC